GAGGGCCUCGUCAAUCGGUGAAGAAGAGGAGUGAGCAGGUUCACCUGGUGAAGGAGCAGCGGCUGUCGGCGCCGGAGAGGACGACGGUGGAGAAGCCGGAUGGUAUCGAGACAGAGGCGGCUGUCGGCGCCGGAGAGUGGGAAGACGGCGGUGGAGAAGAUGGAGGAGGAGAGGCUGCGGUGUUCGAAGGAAUGACCAAGAAAUAGAAAAGAAACAUGAGAGUUAUGUUUUUGUUCCUCUUUUGUUCUUCAAUUGUGUUUCAGAAAUAAGAAACACAAUUUUUUUGUUUCUUAUUU
rnacentral:lncRNA from 1 species